UACGGGGGGAGCAAGCGUUGUCCGGAAUCACUGGGCUUAAAGGGCGCGUAGGCGGCAUAGCAAGUCCGGGGUGAAAGCCCCCGGCUCAACCGGGGAAGUGCCUUGGAAACUGCUGUGCUCGAGGGAGGUAGGGGUCGAGGGAACUUCUGGUGGAGCGGUGAAAUGCGUUGAUAUCAGAAGGAACGCCGGUGGCGAAAGCGCUCGACUGGACCUUUUCUGACGCUGAGGCGCGAAAGCUAGGGGAGCAAACGGG
rnacentral:rRNA from 1 species